AAUACUGUGAAAGUGGGCUGAAAUGUUCCGAGUAAGUUAGGGCGAGAACAGAUGUGAACUACUACUGCGUCGACUAUGGAGCUUCACGGAACGCUAUAGGUACAUUUCCACGCCUGGGUCGUAAACCUUGGCUUCGUUAGCGAAGUUACUGUUUUCCCGCCAUAGUUACUGUGACACGGACAAAGUGUAGCCCUUGGCUGAACGUUUUAUUGUUCGGAAUAUAGAGGUGAGCUGUUUACGGUCGAAAGUUUUUCUUUCGUGUGACGCUCAGCCGUCCUGACCAUCGAAAAAAAGAAAACACAAUGAGGACUUAUCUUCUCCUCGCCUUUCUGUUCUCAGUGGUAUACACAGAUCGUAGCAAGCCGGACGAAAUACAGACAACGGCACCGUACAAAGCUCCCAUGGACGAUGUGCCGGUAUGCAUAGACUGGGAUGAUCCACACUGCUACAAGUUCUGCGUCCGCAUUGCAGAGGGUCGAGUCAUCCGGACGGCCAUGUGUGCUCAUAAUAGAUGUGGCUGCCUCUUCGGCCGUGCUGAUUAAGGAGCUGAUACGACGACAGUUGAAGAUAACGACGCUAAUGUCUGAGACGUACUGGGGUCAGCGAGGUAUUUCUGCAAUAAAUUGCGAAAGAAGAAAACGUGCGAAACGAAA